UGUCUCAGUAGCUCAGGGGAUAGAGCAACAGCCUCCUAAGCUGUGGGUCGCAGGUUCGAUUCCUGCCUGGGACGUCCA
rnacentral:tRNA from 1 species